rnacentral:lncRNA from 1 species
CAAGACCCCAAGCUAAGACCCGUGUUCAGGUAUUCAGCAAGUCCCUGACCACGGUUGGUGGGAGCCCCUUGGGGCCCUGGGGCUUCCGGACGCUGUGGCUCAGCUCUGUUCUCCCACAAAGCUGAGCAGGUGCAGGGUAGCUGUGAACACACUGCUCGGGGUUCAUAUGUGUUUGUUGUCUGACUCCUUGAUAGCUAGGAGGCGGAGAGCAAUCCUCGGUCAUUGUCCCCAUCUUGGACACCUGCUCCUCCCUGCCCCCUCUGCAGUUUGGGGCCAGGUCAGAAUCCCGCACCCUGCCCCCAGUUUGUGGAUCUGAUGAAGGGUGAUGAGAGGAGGCUCUGGCCCCGAGGCGGCUGCAGGUGGACUGGGAGUCAGCUUGGGACCAGGCCUGGCCUGAACUUCUAGAUGGAAGGCCCAGGCCACAGAGGAGGCAUUGAUGGCAAAAGAGGCGCCCAGAGGCUGCUGCAGCUGGGGCAACGUGGGCAUUACUGGGCUGGCAGGAGAAGAAGAAUGAUCCUCGGGCUCCAGGGCCCACGUCUGAGCAUCUGGGGUCAGCGAGGGAAC